rnacentral:rRNA from 1 species
UACGUAGGGCCCAAGCGUUAUCCGGAAUUACUGGGCGUAAAGCGUCUGUAGGUGGCGCAUUAAGUCAGAUGCGAAAUCUCUCCGCUCAACGGAGGAACUGUGUCUGAUACUGAUGUGCUUGAGGUUCGGAGAGGUUAGCGGAAUUUCCGGUGUAGCAGUGAUAUGCGUAGAUAUCGGAAGGAACACCAAUGGCGAAGGCAGCUAACUGGCCGACACCUGACACUGAGAGACGAAAGCGUGGGGAGCGAACGGG